rnacentral:rRNA from 1 species
UACAGAGGUCCCGAGCGUUGUUCGGAUUCAUUGGGCGUAAAGGGUGCGUAGGCGGUGAAGUAAGUCUGAUGUGAAAUCCCGGGGCUCAACCCCGGAACUGCAUUGGAUACUGCUUUACUUGAGUACUGGAGAGGGAACUGGAAUUUACGGUGUAGCAGUGAAAUGCGUAGAGAUCGUAAGGAAGGCCAGUGGCGAAGGCGAGUUCCUGGACAGUGACUGACGCUGAGGCACGAAGGCCAGGGGAGCAAACGGG